rnacentral:rRNA from 2 species
UGGGGAAUAUUGCACAAUGGAGGGAACUCUGAUGCAGCGACGCCGCGUGAACGAAGAAGGCUUUCGAGUCGUAAAGUUCUUUUAUAUGGGAAGAUAAUGACGGUACCAUAAGAAAAAGCCCCGGCUAACUACGUGCCAGCAGCCGCAGUAAUACGUAGGGGGCUAGCGUUGUCCGGAAUCACUGGGCGUAAAGGGUUCGCAGGCGGAAAUGCAAGUCAGGUGUAAAAGGCAGUAGCUUAACUACUGUAAGCAUUUGAAACUGCAUAUCUUGAGAAGAGUAGAGGUAAGUGGAAUUUUUAGUGUAGCGGUGAAAUGCGUAGAUAUUAAAAAGAAUACCGGUGGCGAAGGCGACUUACUGGGCUCAUUCUGACGCUGAGGAACGAAAGCGUGGGUAGCAAACAGG